GGCCAGGUAGCUUAAUUGGCAUAAAGCAUUCUUCGGAAAACAAAUGCUGGUUCAACCCCAGCCCUGGUUA